rnacentral:rRNA from 1 species
AUGUGCUAAUACCGCAUAAUCUCUGAGGAGAAAAGCAGGGGAUCGAAAGACCUUGCGCUUUUGGAGCGGCCGUUAUCUGAUUAGCUAGUUGGUGAGGUAAAGGCUCACCAAGGCGUCGAUCAGUAGUUGGUCUGAGAGGACGACCAGCCACACUGGAACUGAGACACGGUCCAGACUCCUACGGGAGGCAGCAGUGGGGAAUUUUGGACAAUGGGGGAAACCCUGAUCCAGCCAUGCCGCGUGAGUGAAGAAGGCCUUCGGGUUGUAAAGCUCUUUCAGUCGGGAAGAAAAGAUUGCAGAUAAUACCUGCAAUUCAUGACGGUACCGAAAUAAGAAG